UUGAACGCUGGCGGCAUGCUUUACACAUGCAAGUCGAACGGUAACAGGUUAAGCUGACGAGUGGCGAACGGGUGAGUAAUGCAUCGGAACGUGCCCGAUCGUGGGGGAUAACGCAGCGAAAGCUGCGCUAAUACCGCAUACGAUCUGAGGAUGAAAGCGGGGGACCGUAAGGCCUCGCGCGAUCGGAGCGGCCGAUGUCAGAUUAGGUAGUUGGUGGGGUAAAGGCUCACCAAGCCGACGAUCUGUAGCUGGUCUGAGAGGACGACAAGCCACACUGGGACUGAGACACGGCCCAGACUCCUACGGGAGGCAGCAGUGGGGAAUUUUGGACAAUGGGCGCAAGCCUGAUCCAGCAAUGCCGCGUGCAGGAAGAAGGCCUUCGGGUUGUAAACUCCUUUUAUAUGUCAAGAAAAUGACGGUAGCAUAUGAAUAAGCACCGGCUAACUCCGU
rnacentral:rRNA from 1 species